CUGGGGGUAUAGCCAAGAUGGCAGAGUAAUCCUCAGCAGCUCUAUACCAACAUGAGAAUCUUUCCCAACCAAAAUUAAAAUAUUGCCACAAAAUUAAUAUAGGAGUGAAAGAACCAACAAGAAGGCAGAGUGAAACAACUUUCAAGAAAAAAAAAACAAAGAUCUCCAAGCACUUACAAGGGAAAGAUUGCAUUACUACGAAUGAAUGUGAAACAGAGUUGCCUAAAGCAUUUCAACAGGUUAAGUGGCUGGCUAUAGACAUGCCAGUACAUGUCAAGCCACAAAAACUCCGGAGAAGGGAGAGAGAAAAGCUCACUUCAAGCAAGAGAGUCACUUACUGUGUCCCUUCCCAAAGAUAGUUUUUGCUAUCCUCCUGAUACUCUUAUUGGACCUCAAUCUGGGUUUUGACUUUUGGACAUGCCAC
rnacentral:lncRNA from 1 species